rnacentral:rRNA from 1 species
CAGUAGCCGCGGUAAUACGUAGGGUGCAAGCGUUAAUCGGAAUUACUGGGCGUAAAGCGUGCGCAGGCGGUCCGCUAAGACAGAUGUGAAAUCCCCGGGCUUAACCUGGGAACUGCAUUUGUGACUGGCGGGCUAGAGUAUGGCAGAGGGGGGUAGAAUUCCACGUGUAGCAGUGAAAUGCGUAGAGAUGUGGAGGAAUACCGAUGGCGAAGGCAGCCCCCUGGGCCAAUACUGACGCUCAUGCACGAAAGCGUGGGGAGCAAACAGGAUUAGAUACCCGAGUAGUCCCUGUCUCUUAUAA